GGGGGAUAUUGCACAAUGGGGAAAACAUGAUGCAGCGACGCCGCGUGAGCGAUGAAGUAUUUCGGUAGGUAAAGCUCUAACAGCAGGGAAGAAAAGGACGGUACCUGACUAAGAAGCACNGGCGAACUACGUGCAAGAAGCCGCGGUAAUACGUAGGGGGCAAGCGUUAUCCGGAUUUACUGGGUGUAAAGGGAGCGUAGACGGUAGUGCAAGUCUGAAGUGAAAGGCGGGGGCCCAACCCCCGGACUGCUUUGGAAACUGUGCAGCUGGAGUGCAGGAGAGGUAAGUGGAAUUCCUAGUGUAGCGGUGAAAUGCGUAGAUAUUAGGAGGAACACCAGUGGCGAAGGCGGCUUACUGGACUGUAACUGACGUUGAGGCUCGAAAGCGUGGGGAGCAAACAGG
rnacentral:rRNA from 1 species